rnacentral:rRNA from 1 species
GAGUGACGCACGGGUGAGUAACGCGUAGGUAAUCUACCUAUUGGACUGGGAUAGCUCUACGAAAGUAGGAUUAAAACCAGAUACAUUUAUCUAAUCUUAAGAUUAAAUAAAGAAAUGUCUAAGCCGAUAGAUGAGCCUGCGUUAGAUUAGUUAGUAGGUGUGGUAAUGGCGCACCUAGGCAUCGAUCUAUAGCCGAGUUGAGAGGCUAAUCGGCCACAUUGGAACUGAGACACGGUCCAGACUCCUACGGGAGGCAGCAGCUAAGAAUCUUCCGCAAUGGUUGAGAGACUGACGGAGCGACGCCGCGUGAAUGAUGAAGGCCUUUUAGGUUGUAAAAUUCUUUUAUAAUAGAUGAAAGUAUAGAUAUAGUUUAUGCUGACCGUAUAUUAUGAAUAAGGUCCGGCUAACUACGUGCCAGCAGCCGCGGUAAAACGUAGGGACCUAGCGUUGUUCGGAAUUACUGGGCGUAAAGGGUAUGCAGGCUGUUAUAUAAGUCAGAUGUGAAAGACCCGGGCUCAACCUUGGAAUUGCGUCUGAUACUGUAUAACUUGGGUAGCUGAGAGGAAGUCGGAAUUCCUGGUGUAGGGGUGAAAUCUAUAGAUAUCAGGAAGAACACCAGUAGCGUAGGCGGACUUCUGGCAGCUUACCGACGCUGAGGUACGAAAGGUAGGGUAGCAAACAGGAUUAGAGACCCUGGUAGUCCUACCUGUAAACGUUGUAUACUAAGUGGUGGAAGUUUAAUAUCUUUCUCUGCCGGAGUUAA